rnacentral:rRNA from 1 species
GACGAACGCUGGCGGCGUGCUUAACACAUGCAAGUCGAACGGUAAGGCCCUUCGGGGUACACGAGUGGCGAACGGGUGAGUAACACGUGGGUGAUCUGCCCUGCACUUCGGGAUAAGCCUGGGAAACUGGGUCUAAUACCGGAUAGGACCACUGCCUGCAUGGGUGGUGGUGGAAAGCUGUUGCGGUGUGGGAUGGGCCCGCGGCCUAUCAGCUUGUUGGUGGGGUGAUGGCCUACCAAGGCGACGACGGGUAGCCGGCCUGAGAGGGUGACCGGCCACACUGGGACUAAGAUACGGCCCAGACUCCUACGGGAGGCAGCAGUGGGGAAUAUUGCACAAUGGGCGCAAGCCUGAUGCAGCGACGCCGCGUGAGGGAUGACGGCCUUCGGGUUGUAAACCUCUUUCAGCACCGACGAAGCGCAAGUGACGGUAGGUGCAGAAGAAGGACCGGCCAACUACGUGCCAGCAGCCGCCGUAA